AUUGAACGCUGGCGGCAGGCCUAACACAUGCAAGUCGAACGGUAACAGGAAGCAGCUUGCUGCUUUGCUGACGAGUGGCGGACGGGUGAGUAAUGUCUGGGAAACUGCCCGAUGGAGGGGGAUAACUACUGGACACGGUAGCUAAUACCGCAUAACGUCGCAAGACCAAAGAGGGGGACCUUAGGGCCUCUUGCCAUCGGAUGUGCCCAGAUGGGAUUAGCUAGUAGGUGGGGUAACGGCUCACCUAGGCGACGAUCCCUAGCUGGUCUGAGAGGAUGACCAGCCACACUGGAACUGAGACACGGUCCAGACUCCUACGGGAGGCAGCAGUGGGGAAUAUUGCACAAUGGGCGCAAGCCUGAUGCAGCCAUGCCGCGUGUAUGAAGAAGGCCUUCGGGUUGUAAAGUACUUUCAGCGGGGAGGAAGGGAGUAAAGUUAAUACCUUUGCUCAUUGACGUUACCCGCAGAAGAAGCACCGGCUAACUCCGU
rnacentral:rRNA from 1 species